AUACGUAGGUGGCAAGCGUUGUCCGGAAUUACUGGGUGUAAAGGGAGAGUAGGCGGGAUUGCAAGUCCGUUGUUAAAUCUAUCGGCUUAACCGGUAGCUGCGGCGGAAACUGUAGUUCUUGAGUGAAGUAGAGGCAGGCGGAAUUCCUAGUGUAGCGGUGAAAUGCGUAGAUAUUAGGAGGAACACCAGUGGCGAAGGCGGCCUGCUGGGCUUUAACUGACGCUGAGGCUCGAAAGUGUGGGGAGC
rnacentral:rRNA from 1 species